AGAGUUUGAUCCUGGCUCAGAACGAACGCUGGCGGCAGGCUUAACACAUGCAAGUCGAGCGAAGACUUCGGUCUUAGCGGCGGACGGGUGAGUAACGCGUGGGAACGUGCCCUUUCUUUCGGAAUAGCCCAUGGAAACGUGGAUUAAUGCCGGAUACGCCCUUCGGGGGAAAGAUUUAUCGGGGAAGGAUCGGCCCGCGUUGGAUUAGGUAGUUGGUGGGGUAACGGCCUACCAAGCCGACGAUCCAUAGCUGGUUUGAGAGGAUGAUCAGCCACACUGGGACUGAGACACGGCCCAGACUCCUACGGGAGGCAGCAGUGGGGAAUCUUGGACAAUGGGGGCAACCCUGAUCCAGCCAUGCCGCGUGAACGAUGAAGGCCCUAGGGUUGUAAAGUUCUUUCAGCGGGGAAGAUAAUGACGGUACCCGCAGAAGAAGCCCCGGCUAACUCCGUGCCAGCAGCCGCGGUAAUACGGAGGGGGCUAGCGUUGUUCGGAAUUACUGGGCGUAAAGCGCACGUAGGCGGAUCGUUUAGUCGGGGGUGAAAUCCCGGGGCUCAACCCCGGAACUGCCUUCGAUACUGGCGGUCUGGAGUCCGAGAGAGGUGAGUGGAAUUCCGAGUGUAGAGGUGAAAUUCGUAGAUAUUCGGAGGAACACCAGUGGCGAAGGCGGCUCACUGGCUCGGUACUGACGCUGAGG
rnacentral:rRNA from 1 species